AGGGGAUAACACCAUUGCCUCCGAAGUUUGCAGUGCUGGUUCGAGACCAGAAUCCUCCAAAGAUUUGUCUUCGCAGUUUUUCUCUCGCACUGGCACCUGUUUGAAAGGCUUUUUUUUUCUUUUUUUCUUCUUCUUCUAAUGACGUCAUCACAAAAAGAGUAUAAAAGGCGUCAAGAAUGCGACGCUCAUUCUUGCACUCACCACUGACAGCGAAAGCCACGUUGCUCUGGUCCACCUGCUGCGCCGGCCGUACAACAGCAUUUAAAAGUGACAAGCGUCAAGUUGCACUUUGGGCGUGCUUCCAUCUUGCAAGCUCAAAAGUUUGCAGAAGCUAGCGUUAGCAGUUAACAUCUCCAACGACCACCAAAACGCAUUUAUCUGGCGUGCAACCAGACAAUUGAAGCAUUUAACGGUGGCAACGUCUGGACGACAGCGCCGUUUGGCCGAAGGGUCCAAAAUGGCCACCUUGCAGUCCUCACAUGGCUUCAUGAGACACUUGCAGACCAGCGAGCUGUGGUUGGAGAGACGUCCGGUGCUGCCCUCCAUUCGUCACUGGUGGUGCCAAAGGACCUAGUUUCUGCAGCAUGGAUCUGCUGAUCUAAAAGGUUUUGAACCUGUGGAAUCAUCAACCUCUUGUCUGACCUGCUGAUAGAGCACUCUCCAGUAAGGAUGCAGUUGGAAAAUCUGCCACCUGCUGGCCAAAGGUGUCCACCCUGGAGAGCAAAGGUUGCAAAUCCUGGUCCAGAAAGUGAAAAGCCUGCCAGUUUGUCUUCAGCCUCUGUGAGCUCGUUCAUCUGGGUCUGUGCUGCCUGAAGAGCCCUCUGCUGUGUGGAGCACCAUCAAAUACCUGCUCGUAGCGGAAGCUGAGGACUAGAGCAAAGCCGCAUACCAGCAACACUUUAGUCUUGUUGCUGCCUCAGCUUUAAGGCAACCUGAGAAG